GCUUUUUACUUCUAUGCAAGCAUUCUUAUGUCCCGAAAUCUGGAUGCUAGAAUACUUAUGAUUCCUAGAGGCUGAUUUGACCUCUCAUUUUUGCUUUUAUCAAAGAUAAACCUUUAUUAUUAUCUAGAGAUGUAGUAUGUUACUAUUUUAUCUUUUACAGGGCAUAUGAAGUGAGCUUUAGAAGUUAAUUGUUCCGUUUUGUUUUAUAUCAGUAUCAUAGUUCCCAUUACUAAAGGAAUCACUUUUUUUUUCCCAGCAAAUUCUCAUUUCAAGCUCUGACUCUGAGGCCGAAGAUGUUGAGGAACUUCUGCAGGAUGUCAUUCGACCUCUUUCAACUCUCAGGGUUGAUGAAGAUCAUUAUGGUAAAGAGACUUGCCGUGAGUGGAAUUGUGAAAAAGUAGAUCUGAAUUCUGUUAAAUUAAUACAAUCUUUAAAUCAAAUGUAGUUCUUGCAGAAUCUGCUUCUGUGUCCUGGAGAUCAGUUCUUUCGAAAAUUGACAUCUGGUAUGCCACCUUUGGAUCAAAUAUGUGGAACCCUAGGUUCCUCUGCUAUAUUGAAGGUGGACAGGUAAUGCGCUUUAUUAUUACCUUUUUCAAGCUUUAGAACAUCAGUUACCUAACAUGCUGAUGUUUCAUGACAUACAUGAUGAAUGUAUUGUGGUCCUGUCCAAUGAUUUCAGGUGGAUGGCAUGCAAAAGCCAUGUUCUGGCUCAAUGGACAAAAGCCCGCCUAAAGAGAUUUUGUGGAAGACCUUUCCGCACCGAUUAUUCUUUGGCAUGGAAUCCACACGCAUGUGGGGUUUGGGAGGAGUUGCUUUCCUUCAUCCCGAAAGCAAGAAUGAGGAUAUUGUGCACAUGUGCCUGUAUAAGAUAACGUAUGUCUUUGUCAUGUUUUUCUCCUUUAUGUUUCUAUGCCUCUGUUGAAGAGAAUACUCUCUUGAGAAGGAUGGAGUGCAUAGGAUGGAGUGGAUAUACUGCAACUAUGACCUUUUGUCUUUUUGACUUUCUCUGAUCAGGUUAGAGCAGUUCAAUGAUGUCUUGCUUCAGGAAAAUGUUUCCAGCUAUGACAUGAGUUCUCCUUUGUUUGAUCUUACAUCUUUGGACUGCAGUAAAGAAAAAGGAUCCAUCGACUUGGAAGCAGUCAAGGUAUUUCCUUUUGAUCUCAUCCAAGUACUGUCUUGUGCACCCAAUAAAGCCUCAACUUUAUCUCGUUCUCUUUCAGUUAUCACAAUCUGAUCUCUAAUAUUUCAAGCUGGUCAAAUCUACUUACAGAAUGGUUGGUACCAUAACGUUGUUUACUUGGGAAUGGAGCAAGACAUCCCCAUACUCACAAUGACGUAAGCAUAUAAAUUACCUUGCCCUCCUCUCCUUGAAGUCACACAUGAUCUCGAGACUAUCAGCCAAAUAGACUUCUUGGUCCACAGAAUUAAUACGAUUUAUCAACUUGCUGAUCUAUAUAGGUGCAUCAUGUCGGAUAUUGAAAACUUCAAGUCAGGGAAGGUUCCUUUGCGUGCUCCAAGUGAAGACUAUGCCAACACGUUGAUAAGAGGCUUGGUGGAAGGAGGGCAGCUCUCGGAAGAGGAAGCCAUGUCCUACAUCAAGGACGCUGCUACAAAGCCCUUAUAGAAUGCAAACAUUACUUUAUUUGCUCUCCCCCUUUAUUGAGGAUGUUUAUUCUUCAUUUGCAACCUUGCUAGAUUCUCUGCAGCAAGAGUGACUCCGACCAAAAAGUCUGGCCUCUUAGGUAGCGCUUUAUAAUCAAAGGAGACUAAUUUAGGCUUGUGUAUAAUCCCAUAAAGCGAAUUUCUCUUGUAUAUAGUCUCACCGAUCCUGCUGAAGUGGCUCCAGCCAACUUCUUCAGGGUUGAUUAGCUUGUAAUUUCCCCUCUAUGCGCAUUGAUUCAAGGACCGUGUCUGUAGUUUGAGAAGUCUCAUGCAUUCUCAAGACUGUCAAUUGCCACUUCUGGUUCUCAUUAGGAAUUUGCUGCUUGUCUGUUUCCCCUCGUUGAAGGUAAUAAACCGGUGGAUUUCAUACACCUGCCCAACUCUCGUCCACAGACAGACGGAGGGAGCUAGGACAAUAUUGAGAAUGACUCAAUAGCAUUAUCGUGGUCAAUAGAGAGUGGUUAGAAUUUUAUUCACAAAAGUGGGUGCCUCUAUUAUAUUUUACUAACUCCCUGGGCCUACUUCGGUGGUGGGUACACAGCUGCAACACUGCCCACCAUGAAAUGUGAAGUGGACCAAUGUAGAAAAAGUAGAUUUUAUCAAUGAGUUUUUCUAGGGCAGUCGACAGAUUAUAAUAUAUUUGAAAGUGUAAAAGAAAAUAUAUGAUUUGACAAGGUAAAAUGAUAGUUUUUGCUAGGGCAAGCGGCUUUCAGGAUAGAUAGAUUUUAGAUUUGGAAUCUGUUUUAUUAGGACAGGUUCCUAGUUUUUAGACCUUAUAAUUUAUCCUGUAAAUUUUGGAACCAAACAUGUUGAUUUGGUCCUGUUCUACAGUAAAUGGAAAACGAUUGGUUCUUUUUUUCUUUUUGUGGUUUCAUUAGUUGAACGCUAUUGAUAACUGGCGGUCUUCACGAUUUCAAUGCUUCAACACUCCAUUAUUGAUAAACACCGUUUUACCAUGAAUCUAGUUACCUGAAAAAGAUUAAUUGGACUGCCAUCUGAGAACAAUAUAUAUACUCAAAGUUAUGAAGACGACACCAUAUCGAUUGUAGAUUAAAAAAGAUGGUAUGGCUACAAGAUUCAUCAAGAAAAAUCAUAACACUCAUACCACGAAUUAUCCAAAGGUACAAAAAGGAAAACGAUCUAUUACAUAACGCAAUUCCCCUCCUCCCUGAUCACCCUCUAUUUUUAACCUCUAAUUGCUCCAGUCAUAAAAGGAUUAACUGGUCGACAUUUUAUUGUCAAUCUGAUUGCCCGAACAUCCAACCCAGCCCAGCCCGGGGAUUUUUUUGAGUCUCCUGUCUAUUAUCUCAUCUCUCAGACCAUCUUCCAUGACUAGCAUAAGUUUUCGAAAGCAUUACUCUGUAGGCACCCUUCUCUGGCUCCAUUUGAAAGAGCUGCUGAGCUACUAUACCUGCCAUUGUGGAAUUACCACACAUCUCACAACAUGAUAGUAGUGCACCCCAGACUCCAGGAUCCACUGGUUGUGGCAAGGACUGAAUAAAAUUGAAUGCUUCUUCCAACUCUCCAGCGGUACCAAGAAAUGCUCAGUCCCAGGUUGGAGGCAGAACUCAUCUUCCAUUCUCCUGAAAAUUUUCUUUCCAUCUUCUAUAAGGCCAGCAUGACAACAAGCAUAAAGGAGAGCAGAGAAAGUACAAUGAUCAGGAUUUACUCCGAUGCGAAGUAUUUCCUCAAAUAAUUGAAAUGACUGGGAAGCUAGUCCAUGGAGCCCAAGACCCAAAAUGAUGGAAUUGUACGUAAUAAUAUUCCUAUCUGACAUUUGCUCAAAAAUGUGCAUUCCCUCAUCCAAGAAACCACACUUUGAAUACAUAUCUAUGAGGGCAGAUGAACCAUAAUAUCGGAUUCCAAUCCACGACGGAGAACAAAACCAUGUAUCUCUUUACCAGGCCUUACAUUUGCUAAUUGUGCAAUUGCCACGAGCACACUGGAGAUCAAAACAUGGUCUACCAUCCUACGCUCAAUCGUCAACUUUCUGAAAACCAGAAGCGCCUUUUCACCAUCUCCACAUUGGCAAUAACCCAUUACCAAAGCAGACCAUGCAACUGAAUCAGGCUGGGACAAACCUCCAAAAACUUUACUUAUGGAUAUCUGAUUGAACAGAUAAUAAUAUCUCGGUACUUAAUGUGCUUUCUCAAUGCAGCUGAAGCUCAAUAUAUUUCAUUGCUUGUUUGUUACUUCUCCAGGACAAACUAGAAGAUUGGCUACAAAAGGCAAAAAAGCUUCUUCAAGACGAGUUGAAGAACAAAGCUAAAAACUUUGAUUUCACUAGCUGUAUGUUAUAGUGUUAUAGUAUUCUCUCUUUCUCUCUCUCUCUCUCUCUCACACACACACAAUUUUGUGUUUCUUCUAAGGCCCUUGACUAUUGUUGGAAUGAACCAAUUUUCCUAGGGAAUAUUCUGUUCAUGCGCUUUUAAUUGUGGUAAUUGUUGAAAAAGUGACGGUUUCCUUCAGUUGUUUCUUUUUAAUUUUUUUAGAAGUAGGCCCCUUCCCCUGGGAUUUAAAUGGGUUGGGGUUUUUUUUUUUAUGACUGAUGGAAUCAAGGGGUUUUUUUUUUUUUUUUUUUUUUUUUUUUUUUUUUUUUUUUUUUUUUUUUUUCUGGCUUCAAUUUCACUUGAUAUCUCUAGAAAAGAGACAUCAUAUCUCAUGAUGAUUCCAGCAAUUGCUUAAAACGUAACCAUAAAUGUUUAUCACUAUACGAAUUGUUCCUCACAUCUUGCAAUAAGAAGAGUAGAUUUGGAUCCCAAUUUAUAUACAACGGAUCCUGAUAAUGUAAAUGGGGAGGAUAAUGCUUCAAAUGAUGAUGUAGCAUCUGAUAUGGCACGUUUACGUGAUCAAAUAGUUAUGAAUUUAUGAAGUAAUUAAUGAUAUUUGUAAUUUUUAAGGAUAAUGAACUUCUUUCCUCAAAGCAUAUAUUAUCAUAUUUUUAUUGUAAUGAAAGUAUUUUUAUUCUAAUUGAGAAUGAGAGUACGUAAAUUUUUUCCAUUUGAUGUUUUUUAGCAAAAAAAAAUGAAUUUUAAUUUUAAUAAAAUUGUUUACACAACAUCUUUAAAAUUGUUGUCAAAUAUAAAUUUAAAAAGUUGCAAACAUUAUUUUUUAAAUUUUAAACAAAUAAAAAUUAAAGUAUUUAGAUUAAUCACCAAAGGGGUUUUGCAAAUGUGUUUUCUACCAAACAGCAUUUCUCUCAAAGUUGCUUUUCAAAGCAGAAUUUACCAAACAAUCUUUGCAUUCCCUUCAAAGCCCUUUAGGCUAAACUGCUUUGCAUUUUCCCAAUAGGCUUUCCAAAUGCCGAACCAAACGCACCCUAACUAAAGCAGCACCCACAUAAGCAUCGGAAUCUAGACAACUUUUCAUACACAGUCCAUGUAUACUUUGCCCGACACCUAUGAAGCUCAUAUCUGCCAAACCAGAGAUCAACCCAACCAAAGUAUACCCAUCAAGUAACCUUCCCAGGCUUCUCAUCUCGCUAAACAAUUUCAACCCUUAUCCCAUGCACAAAGAUGCCCAAAACCAUCCUCACUACCAUCUAUGUGAUAUUCCACCACAUGCCUGCGCCUUGUCGACACGUUGCUUCGACAAGUUACAACCACUUUAAAUGAACGAAGGAUCAAUUGCACCAAUUUGAACGAAACUCGGUUGAACGGGAGUGUGAAUUAAAGUGUACGGCGAACCUAGGAAAAGAUAAUGAAGAAUCAAGGCUCUUGUGUAACACAACAAGUGUCUCAAUAACGAAAAUGUGGCUUUACUUGAGAUUUGUCUUCUUCGUUCAGAAAAAAAAAAAAAAAAGUGAAUAAACGAAGUUAGGGAUUUCUUGUUGUGUUUCAAUUCGUGUUCCAUUAACAGAAAAUUUCGGUGCUUCAAGCGAGAGAGGACAAAGAACGGAAAAGAUGAAGGGCAGAAGAAGAAAAAUGUGAGAAUGUGAAGAGUUUUUUUUUAGGUCAAAACAACGUGAAGAGUUUGAGGAUUUUUAGGGUUUGUUAAUUUCUAUUUAUAUUUUUGGUGAACAAAAUUACCCAUAUUUCGAUUACCGGAAAUGUCACACGCUCGCCAGCCGGCAGAUUCAAGUCAUUUUUUAAAACUUGUUAGUCAUUUCAGGCCAUUAUUUGUAAUAACAGUCGUUUUGGAUCCUUAACUGAGAAAAUAGGUUUAUUUUGGGUCUUUAUUUAAGAUUUUUCCUAAUCAUGACGUUGUCUAAUGUAAGGUACGUCCCUCUGUCAUGGGAUCACGAGCCGGACCAAAGAGGAAAGUCCCCGACCAGGCCGCCCAUGUCCACAGGCGGGAUCUCGUUUGCUCAUUGCGGUUAAUCUUUUCUCGUUCUUCAUUCUUCGAUUCGAAGUUCCUCGUUUUCUGUUCUCCCUCCCUCCUACCUCUCGUUGACCAGUCGCGAAGAGAGAGAGAGAGAGAAGGGCGGAGGGCAGCGAUGGAAGCUGUGGACUCCGGGAGCGACGGCGCGAGCUGGAGUCAGCGAAGAGUUGGGAUAGUGUACGACGAGAGGAUGUGCAGGCAUCACACCCCUGACGGCGAGUUUCACCAUGAAAACCCUAAUCGCAUCAGAGCCAUCUGGAACAAGCUCCAAGCUGCCGGCAUCACUCAAAGGUUCCGACUUAGACUUGCGCAGAUCCGUGUUUCCUCGGCAUGUCUUGGCUUUACCAUGUUCGAACUUUUCAUUUCCCUUGUCGAUUGCAUAUGCGGUGGCGGUUAAAUGAUGGAGUGUGUUUGAUCAGUGGACGAAGAGGUGUUUAGAGUCUUUUUCUGUGUUUUUUUUUUUCUUUUUAUCUGAAUUUGGUACUGACGUAAAGGGUUCGUUUUUUUCGUAUGAUCUUUCGUUUUCGGGAGGUGAUCGAUGUCCAUAUGGAUUGUAGAGAGAAUGGAGGGUGUGUUCGCAUGUGCUCAAUUUUAAGUGGACAAGUGUGAUUUGAAUUGGGAAUUUUCUUUUGGAGUUGUCAUAUUUGGUAGAGUGACGAUGAUGGGAUUUGAAGGAAAGAUUUUCUCUGUGAGCGUUUAAUAUCCUAAAUAGAUUAGACGGUGAAUUGGCAUGUUCUAAGAGUAGUCCCCACUCAUUCACUGUGGAAGUACAGUUUUACAACAUACUUCUCUUAACUUUAGAGGUAAGAAUACGGCAGCAUUAUUUAGUUUCGGUGUUUGGAUGUAUCAAUUGUGGAAAAGAUACUCGCAUUUUUAAAUGACACUUUUGGCUUUUGAUGUUUAUUUCUGAUUUCGUUCUUUUUUCUAGACUUAAUGAGCCGACUGAAGAAUUAAUAUAAGGGCCGCAAUUUAAUUUUUAAUGGGUACAAAAAUACAUGAUAAUUAGCUCGUUACAUGUUUCAUGCUCCCUUUGUUUUGGAAUUUCUUUUUGUUAAUUCAAUUGUGGGGAAAUUUUACCAUUGAUUGCUAAACUUUAAUGGGGAUUCCAUUUGGGUCAAUUAACUUAGGUCUAAAUCAUCGGUUCUCUAAAUUUUCAUAUCUUUAUAAUUGAUACACUUUGACCUGAAUUCAAUGAAUUUGAAGUUUUGAAUGAGAGACAUGUGGCCACAAUAUGGUGUUGAAUUUUUUGCCCUUGUGUUGGCCAAACCAGCAUUUCUCCAAUAAAUGGGCCAGAUUCCAGUCAAAGUGCAUCAGUUACGAUGAAAAAUAAAGCGCAUUGGAUGAUUAAAAUCAAAGUUCAGCUGUUUGAUUGUUUGACAAACUAAAGUCAGCAACCAUUGGUGAAUUUUACGCGUGUUAUAGUGGUAGCAAAGUGAUACGUGAUAAAAGACCAGUCAAUUGCUCUGUCAUUUUAGUGUAUGAUUUACUGCUUCUUUCUAUCCAGGUGUGAGGUUUUAAAUGCCAAAGAAGCAGAAGAUAAAUAUAUUUUGUCAGUCCACGGCAAAAUUCAUGUUGAUCUGAUUAGGAACAUAAGUUCCAAACAGUUUAACUCUCGCAGAAAUAGAAGAGCUUCAAAGUUUAAUUCGAUAUACCUGAAUGAAGGGUCAUCGGAAGCUGCUUAUCUUGCUGCUGGUUCUGUUAUAGAGGUAAUUUUUUUUUUUUUAAACCUGCAUGUUUAUUGAUUGCCACCCUUUUUAGGCGGUGAGUAAUAAUUUUCCGCUGCUGCAAAGCCUCUGAACUGCUGUAUGAAUUAUUGGGUAAAACUGCCUGUAAUGUUUACAAUGCAUCCGCAUGCAUGAAAGAACCUCCAUUGCAUAAGGUCUGUAAUUAACUGUAUUUAUCUGAGCAUAUACGGUUGGCUGUAUAUGGUACCUUUUUCCACAUGCACUGUACUAACUACGUAAGGGACUCUAUUAUCAAUCAUGUAAGACUGUGCGUGAAUAUGUACCUACCCUAUCCCUGAAAAUCGUAGAAGAUUGUCUUUCUCCACUGCCUAAUAAUCAGGGUUUGUCUCUUGACCAAAAUAGAACUUGCAGGGUCCUUCUAUGUCUGCAGAAGUAUCUUUAACAUGGUCAACUGUUUUACGGCCUUGAUGUUCUUCCUGCUUGAAGCCUGAUGUGUAUCCAGGCUAUUCAUCACAGGGAGAUUUAUUUUCUUGGCAGAACUUUCACUUGAGUUAGACCUACAGAAUUGUUUGACAGCAGACUUACUGGAAUUUCUGAAAGUCAAGCAAUUUUCUCUUGCAACUUAAAUGAAUAGCCUAUCUAAUCUUUUGCAUGAUGACAAGCAUUCUGGAUUGCUGCAAUCCAUCUGCAACAGUAAUAUUUACUUCUGCUUCCAUGAUCAUGUGAUUGCAUCUUUCAAUUCUGAAGGUUGACCAGAAUAAUUAUCCCUGUAGGUUGCUAAAAGAGUUGCCAAAGGAGAAUUAGACUCUGCUUUCGCUAUUGUAAGGCCUCCUGGACACCAUGCUGAACAUGAUAAAGCAAUGGGAUUUUGUCUCUACAACAAUGUUGCUAUUGCUACAAAGUUUCUUUUAAACAAAAAAGUGAGUGCUGGUUUCCUAGUACCUUUCUCUGACUGAGUAGCUGUCCCCUCAUGUAGUUUUUACUCUGUCCCUUUUUUUUCCUUUUGCAGGAAUUGGGCAUCAACAGAAUCUUGAUUGUUGACUGGGAUGUUCACCACGGUAAUGGUACUCAGAAGACAUUCUGGAAAGAUCCUCGCGUUUUGUUCUUCUCUGUCCAUAGGUAUAGAAACUGCAGCAGUUUUUAUGUGAUCAUCAUGUCUAGGAGUAAUAGUCUAAAAUCUCUUAUGACUUUUUUCUGAAUAUAAAAUUGUAUCAGGUGAGCAAAUACUAAAAAGUUGUUUCGACUGUGAUUUAGCAGCUCUUUUUCCCUUACAUGAACUCUUUACUCAUUAUAAUCUUAAGCUUGUAGACAAGUCCCAGGUUAAUGGCUUAAGCUUGAAACUCACUGAUGUACUCUCAACAUUGACAUUUGAUCCAUAACUGAAAGGUAUCAACCUCAUAUUUCAGGCAUGAGUGUGGGUCCUUUUAUCCAGCCAGUGAUGAAGGUGACUAUACAAUGAUUGGAGAAGGUCCCGGGGCUGGGUAUAAUAUAAAUGUCCCAUGGGAGAAUGGUCGUUGUGGAGAUGCGGACUAUCUAGCAGUAUGGGACCACAUCCUGAUCCCUGUUGCUAAGCAAUUCAAUCCCGACAUGAUACUAAUUUCUGCAGGUUUUGAUGCAGGUCUGUUCUCAUAUAUCUGAUGAGCAAUUUUUAUCUAUGAAGGGUCAUUUUCAUUUUUCUUUUAGUUUCUAGGUUCUUCCAGUUUUUCUUUGUACUUUAGUUUAAGAUAUGAUUUUGGGUGUUUCCACAAUUUUUUCCUCAUUUCAUGUUAGUGCAGUGGCAGCCUUGGUGACUUGAAGCGAUGUGAUGUGCUUGGCUUUGUGAGACAGUUUCUUUGACACAUGCAUCAAUGAGUGGUUUUCUUUAUUGACUAGAAUUUCAUAGAGGAAUUAAAUAACAGAUGGUAUAAAAGAUUGUAGCAUUUAAUAAAAGUUGCAUUGGUUGCAGAAAUUACAGUUAGUCAUAAUAGGUGGGAGCUGAUAGUUGGUUCAGAAUGUGGUCAGUGCUUUGGGAAUGUAGGAUAUAGAUCAUACUAGAUAGCCAUAUAAUAUGCCUACUUAGUUUGUGUCCACAGAACAUUUUGUUGGGCUCUUUCGAGGAGGAAAAGCGUGUAAAAAAUUCUUGUAAUCAUAUUGUAAGAUGAAUAGAUGAAGCAAAAGUUAUUGUCAUGUUUCGUUCACAUGACAGAAUAUAAUGCCUGAGAUUGAUCAUAGGCCAGAAUUUGAAAUUCAUGAGAUUAUCUUUAUGUCAUGUCUUAGUUUAUUAAGGCCUAUUUGAAGGUUGAUUACGCGUAUUCUACAUCUGUAGCUUUUACUACACGAUUAGUGCAUGAUAGGUGAAUUUCAAAGGGGGGUGUUGCUGCAUUGGCUAUGCCUACCCACCUUUUCUACUUAUCAAAAAAAGAAGAAGAAGGGGGGUGGGGUGUUGGGGAGAUAGAAGAGCUUAGGAAAGCAGAAUCCAAUGCUCAUGGGCUUCAGUUCUCUGUCAUCAUUUCACUUAUCCUUGUUGAAGAAAGGUAAAUAUAUAAAUUCCAUGAUUACUGCCUAAAUGGGUCAGCAUAAGAGUCUGAAGGACUCUUAGCAACUCCAGACUCAUGAUGGUCGCUGCUUUAAGAAGGUAUCACUUUGAUUUUUUUGGACUAAGGUAUCACUUUGAUUGAUUGGUAUGUUUUGGUUCAUGUGUAUUUGAGCUAUAAAAAGAAAUGGCGUGCUCGGAUUUUGCUUUUUCUGUUCCCGUACUUCCUCCAUAUAGUAUGUACGACGGUGACUACUUAGCGGUGAGUUCUACUAAUUUAUUAAUUUAAUGUUUAUAACAGCUGUUGGUGAUCCUCUGGGAGGUUGUCGUGUCACUCCAUAUGGAUACGCAAUGAUGUUGAAGAAGGUUAAUUUCUGGAUAAGUUUCUCUCAUUUUUUUGGGUAGCUGGAAUCUGUCUCCAUCCAUUUUUUGUUUGAAAUAUUGUAAAUAAUCUGUAACUAAGUAACAUAGGAAUUCAUCUUCUCAGGAAAUCCUUUUCCCUUGUUUUCUUUGUGUUAUUGUCAUAAAUAGUAUUUGAUCAGCUUAAUUGGAUCCUUACAAGGCAUUAAGCAUGUUGAUGUGUUACUUUUCAGUUGAUGGACUUUGCACGAGGUAAGAUAGUAUUAGCAUUAGAAGGAGGAUACAAUCUCACCUCAAUUUCAAAUUCAGCCCUUGCAUGCAUGGAAGUUUUGCUGGACGACAAAAUUGUCGCUGGUUCCACCAAAGCGGAUCCUUUAGAGUCCACAUGGCGAGUAAUACAAGUGGUAAAAUGUUUAUUUUCUGGGUGUUCUGGCAACAUGUCUCCCCGGAAUUUAGCUGCAUCAUUGUAAUCAAUCAAAUGAUAGUGUGCUAAUAGCAAGCUAACUUUCUCAGGUUUGUCAAGAACUAAAAGCUUUCUGGUCAGUACUUGCUGAUGAAUUGCCAACCAAGUUAACAAGUCAAAAAGCACCCAUUGCGGUGAAGAUUCUUGUGCUUUUUACUUCUAUGCAAGCAUUCUUAUGUCCCGAAAUUUGGAUGCUAGAAUACUUCUGAUUCAUAGAGGCUGAUUUGACCUCUCAUUUUUGCUUUUAUCAAAGAAACCUUUAUUAUUAUCUAGAGAUGUAGUAUGUUACUAACUGGGUCCUGUGACAAGCCGUUAUUUUAUCUUUUACAGGGCGUGUGAAGUGAGCUUUAGAAGUUAAUUGUUCCGUUUUGUUUUAUAUCAUUAUCAUGGUUCCCAUUACUAAAGGAAUCACUUUGUCUUUUCCCA
rnacentral:lncRNA from 1 species